AAGUCGUAACAAGGUUUCCGUAGGUGAACCUGCGGAAGGAUCAUUAUCAUCCUUUGGAUUGGCUCAUUUCGACUCUUCUCGAGUCGUUUUGAGCUAAAUCUAUCUACCAACCGUGAACUGUUUCUUCACCUCCGAUUCAUAAGAGAUCCCGCGUGCUUCGUUGGCCCGAGAGGAGAAAACGAAUCGCGUUUCCCGGGAAUCAGGGCUCGCUGCCCUGGUAUUGUGAGUUGGUUGUAUCUUUUUGACCUCUCGAAAUUAACCCUUUGAACAAAACCUUUUUCAAUCUUUGUAUUGAACUGAAACAUUGUGUUUUCUUCGUCCCUUUCAUUAGGGGGAAAAAACACGACAAGAUAUACGAAACAAUAAGAACAACUCUUAGCAACGGAUAUCUUGGCUCUCGUAACGAUGAAGAACGCAC
rnacentral:misc_RNA from 1 species